rnacentral:rRNA from 1 species
UCCGUAGGUGAACCUGCGGAAGGAUCAUUAGUGAAUCUAGGACGUCCAACUUAACUUGGAGUCCGAACUCUCACUUUCUAACCCUGUGCAUCUGUUAAUUGGAAUAGUAGCUCUUCGGAGUGAACCACCAUUCACUUAUAAAACACAAAGUCUAUGAAUGUAUACAAAUUUAUAACAAAACAAAACUUUCAACAACGGAUCUCUUGGCUCUCGCAUCGAUGAAGAACGCAGCGAAAUGCGAUACGUAAUGUGAAUUGCAGAACUCAGUGAAUCAUCGAAUCUUUGAACGCACAUUGCGCCCCUUGGUAUUCCGAGGGGCAUGCCUAUUCGAGCGUCAUAAUCACCCUUCAGGCUUCGGCCUGGUGUUGAGGCCUGCUGUCAUGGCACCCUCUAAAAUCAGUGGCGGUGCCGUCAGGCUCUACGCGUAGUAGUAACAUACCGCGACGGAGCCGAGCGCGCGCCCGCCAGAACCCCAAAUUUUUUAUCACGAUUGACCUCGGAUUAGGUAGGGAUACCCGCUGAACUUAAGCAUAUCAAUAAGCGGAGGAA